rnacentral:rRNA from 1 species
AUUGAACGCUGGCGGCAGGCUUAACACAUGCAAGUCGAGCGGAGACUUCGGUCUUAGCGGCGAACGGGUGAGGAAUGCCUGGGAAUCUGCCUGGUAGUGGGGGAUAACGUUCCGAAAGGAACGCUAAUACCGCAUACGUCCUACGGGAGAAAGCAGGGGACCUUCGGGCCUUGCGCUAUCAGAUGAGCCCAGGUCGGAUUAGCUAGUAGGUGAGGUAAAGGCUCACCUUAGGCGACGAUCCGUAGCUGGUCUGAGAGGAUGAUCAGCCACACUGGAACUGAGACACGGUCCAGACUCCUACGGGAGGCAGCAGUGGGGAAUAUUGGACAAUGGGCGAAAGGCCUGAUCCAGCCAUGCCGCG